CCAAUCUGGAAGAAGCCUAAGGGAAUUCUGGAAUCCCUGUGGAGUUCUAAAGGGAUUCAGAGACUGUUUUAUUUACCACAAUACAUCUCACUUCUGGGGCUGGACAACUACUUUGCGACACUGGUUUGAGCUGUGUGGCCUGGGAAACGUGGAUAACUGAAGCUGCCCUGGCACGGCAGAGCUUGGACGUUUGACAGACAAUCACUGGCAAAGAGACCGUGGGCUUUGGGAGCACAUGUUGUAAACAGACCCCUGUUUGUGAAAGUGCUUGUGGAAGGUCUUACAUUCGGCUUCCUGCGUACAAUGAGUGACUUAGGCUUCAGAACCCUGGACCAAUCCAAGGCAUCAUACAUUCCCAAAGGCUCAGUAGGUCUCUCCUUUUCACUGGAUUCAUCAGUGGCUUGCUGAGUUUUGUUCUGGCUAAAGUGUUCACAUAAAUGAGGUCACCAGGCAUGUUCUGAAGCGGUGGAAAGACUCCUGUGAAGAAAUCAACAGAAACUGGAUUUGUUCCUGUUAAUGAAAUUUCAAAAUCUACGCCAGAUCUACGUACAAAUCAUGGACUUGAACUAUGUCCUAGAACAGCAUAAAAAGAGGAAAGGUUUUAGGUAGAAAUAUAGCACUUCCAUGCUGGAUAUAGAAUUUCAUAUCGGAAGCCUUAAAGUUACAAGCUUAUCACAAUAUUUUCAGUGUUGAAUGAUUAUGUGAAUAAAAUGGUGAAUUUAUUGUUUCGUUUCUGAAA